rnacentral:rRNA from 1 species
ACGAACGCUGGCGGCAUGCCUAACACAUGCAAGUCGCACGAGACCUUCGGGUCUAGUGGCGCACGGGUGCGUAACGCGUGGGAACCUGCCCUUAGGUUCGGAAUAACUCCCCGAAAGGGGUGCUAAUACCGGAUAAUGUCUUCGGACCAAAGAUUUAUCGCCUUUGGAUGGGCCCGCGUUGGAUUAGCUAGUUGGUAGGGUAAAAGCCUACCAAGGCGACGAUCCAUAGCUGGUCUGAGAGGAUGAUCAGCCACACUGGGACUGAGGCACGGCCCAGACUCCUACGGGAGGCAGCAGUGGGGAAUAUUGGACAAUGGGCGAAAGCCUGAUCCAGCAAUGCCGCGUGAGUGAUGAAGGCCUUAGGGUUGUAAAGCUCUUUUACCCGGGAUGAUAAUGACAGUACCGGGAGAAUAAGCUCCGGCUAACUCCGUG